UCGAAUCCUGCAAAGCAGAACGACCAGAGAA
rnacentral:rRNA from 1 species